UGCUCCUUGUAACUUAUAAAUAAGGAGUCGGACCUGCCCGGUGAAAUAUUUUUAACGGCCGCGGUACUCUGACCGUGCAAAGGUAGCAUAAUCAUUUGCCUUAUAAUUGAAGGCUUGUAUGAAUGGUUUGACAAGAAUAGAGCUGUCUCUUUACAAUUAAAUAUAAUUUUAUUUUCAGGUGAAGAAGCCUGAAUUAAAUUGAAAGACAAGAAGACCCUAUCGAGCUUGAAAGUAGCUAAUAAAUCUAAAAUCAUAUUUAUACUGAAUUAGUUAUUAAAAAUUUUAGUUGGGGCGACGAAGGAACAAAUAAAGCUUCCUUAAUAUGUAAAUACAUGCGAGUAAUGAUCCAAAUGUUUUGAUUAAGGGAAUUAGUUACCGUAGGGAUAACAGCAUUAUCUUUUUUAAGAGCUCAAAUCGAAAAAAAGGUUUGUGACCUCGAUGUUGGACCAGAAUGUCCUAAAGAUGCAGCCGUCUUUAAGGGUUGGUCUGUUCGACCAUUAAAAUUCUACGUGAUCUGAGUUCAGACCGGCGUGAGCCAGGUCAGUUUCUAUCUUCAAUUUUUGACGUGGACUUAGUACGAAAGGAUCAGUCUACAAUAAAAGUUAUUACCUUUGAUAAAGUAUAAGGAAAACUUUAGUAAGCAAACAACCCAAAGAAUCAAAUUAGCAAAGAUAAUGCAAUUGACUUAGGAUCAAUAGACAUAGGUGAAACUCCUUUAUUUGAUACAGGUAUAAAGAUGGCAGAUAAA
rnacentral:rRNA from 1 species